rnacentral:rRNA from 1 species
GACGAACGCUGGCGGCGUGCUUAACACAUGCAAGUCGAACGGAAAGGCCCUGCUUUUGUGGGGUGCUCGAGUGGCGAACGGGUGAGUAACACGUGAGUAACCUGCCCUUGACUUUGGGAUAACUUCAGGAAACUGGGGCUAAUACCGGAUAGGAGCUCCUGCUGCAUGGUGGGGGUUGGAAAGUUUCGGCGGUUGGGGAUGGACUCGCGGCUUAUCAGCUUGGUGGUGGGGUAGUGGCUUACCAAGGCUUUGACGGGUAGCCGGCCUGAGAGGGUGACCGGCCACAUUGGGACUGAGAUACGGCCCAGACUCCUACGGGAGGCAGCAGUGGGGAAUAUUGCACAAUGGGCGGAAGCCUGAUGCAGCAAAGCCGCGUGCGGGAUGACGGCCUUCGGGUUGUAAACCGCUUUCGCCUGUGACGAAGCGUGAGUGACGGUAAUGGGUAAAGAAGCACCGGCUAACUACGUG